GGAGGCUGCGCAAACCUGGUAUGCUUCCGGGUUCGGGACCCGGCGGUCCGUGUUCAAAUCACGGCGACCCCA
rnacentral:tRNA from 1 species